rnacentral:rRNA from 1 species
UACCAUCAACAAAAUGUGACUCAUAUCUAAACCAGUCCUUGACGAACGUGCCAAGCAUAUUAAGCCACUUCUCCUCAUCCAACGCGUCAGUUUUUGACAGAAUCGUUAGUUGAUGGCGAAAGGUCGCAAAGUAAGAGCUUCUCGAGCUGCGCAAGGAUAGGUCGAAUUUUCUCAUUUUCCGCCAGCAGUCCACUUCGAUUUAAUUCGUAAACAAGCAGUAGUAAUUCCUGCUUUAUCAAGAUAAUUUUUC